rnacentral:miRNA from 1 species
CUGAGUUAUAUCCUCAGCCCAAUAUUUUUUAAAAAGGGCUGGCAAGAUGGCUCAG